GCAACAAAGGAUUGUCAUCCAAUCCAUCCUCACUUUCAUCACUGCAAGAAGAUACAUAAUAUGCUGAGAGUGAAAGGAGAACAUUCAAAAGAGGAGACGUCUCUGCAACUUUUCUUGCAUGUGGCCAUUUGCCUAAAGGCAAAGAAAGUUUUGGCCACUCAACUAUAACGAAGAGCUUUAAAACAUCUUGCUAAUUUGUACCUGGGCAGGCAAUAUGAUGAAUUAUCAAUGAGAGGAGAAGUACGGUGCAAAUUCUUUACGAGAGAAGGUUUUAUAAUGUCAUUCCUAAUGAACAAGUAAACUCCUACUAUGGUGUUGCCUGAGAACAACAUUAGAAAAA